rnacentral:rRNA from 1 species
AGAGUUUGAUCCUGGCUCAGGAUGAACGCUGGCGGCAUGCCUAAUACAUGCAAGUCGAACGAGAGGAAGGAAAGCUUGCUUUUCUGAAUCUAGUGGCGAACGGGUGAGUAACACGUAGGUAACCUGCCCAUGUGCCCGGGAUAACUUCUGGAAACGGAUGCUAAAACCGGAUAGGUAGCAGACAAGCAUUUGACUGCUAUUAAAGUGGCUAAGGCCAUGAACAUGGAUGGACCUGCGGUGCAUUAGCUAGUUGGUGAGGUAACGGCCCACCAAGGCGACGAUGCAUAGCCGGCCUGAGAGGGCGGACGGCCACAUUGGGACUGAGACACGGCCCAAACUCCUACGGGAGGCAGCAGUAGGGAAUUUUCGUCAAUGGGGGGAACCCUGAACGAGCAAUGCCGCGUGAGUGAAGAAGGUCUUCGGAUCGUAAAGCUCUGUUGUAAGAGAAAAACGACAUUCAUAGGGAAUGAUGAGUGAGUGAUGGUAUCUUACCAGAAAGUCACGGCUAACUACGUGCCAGCAGCCGCGGUAAUACGUAGGUGGCGAGCGUUAUCCGGAAUGAUUGGGCGUAAAGGGUGCGUAGGUGGCAGAACAAGUCUGGAGUAAAAGGUAUGGGCUCAACCCGUACUGGCUCUGGAAACUGUUCAGCUAGAGAACAGAAGAGGACGGCGGAACUCCAUGUGUAGCGGUAAAAUGCGUAGAUAUAUGGAAGAACACCGGUGGCGAAGGCGGCCGUCUGGUCUGUUGCUGACACUGAAGCACGAAAGCGUGGGGAGCAAAUAGGAUUAGAUACCCU